AUUGAACGCUGGCGGCAGGCUUAACACAUGCAAGUCGAGCGGGGAAAAGUAGCUUGCUACUGGACCUAGCGGCGGACGGGUGAGUAAUGCUUAGGAAUCUGCCUAUUAGUGGGGGACAACAUCUCGAAUGGGAUGCUAAUACCGCAUACGUCCCACGGGAUAAAGCAGGGGACCUUCGGGCCGUGCGCUAAAAGAUGAGCCUAAGUUGGAUGAACUAGUUGGUGGGGUAAAGGGCUACCAAGGCGACGAUCUGUAGCGGGUCUGAGAGGAUGAUCAGCUACACUGGGACUGAGACACGGCCCAGUCUCCUACGGGAGCCAGCAGUGGGGAAUAUUGGACAAUGGGGGGAACCCUGACCCAGCCAUGCCGCGUGUGUGAAGAAGGCCUUUUGGUUGUAAAGCACUUUAAGCGAGGAGGAGGCUACCGAGAUUAAUACUCUUGGAUAGUGGACGUUACUCGCAGAAUAAGCACCGGCUAACUCUGUGCCAGCAGCCGCCGUAAAAC
rnacentral:rRNA from 1 species